rnacentral:rRNA from 1 species
AUGGACUUAAAGGAUUUUAAUACUGCUUGCAAACUUCCACAAUGGGGUAGUGCUAGUGAACCUCGCAAAUCUGAGCUUAGAGAUUUUCUUGCUAGUAUUACAGUGGGGGAGUCUAGAGAUAUAACACAAGCUACCAUAGGGAGCAUUCAUUUUCCUGCUAUACAUUAUUUUGCUCUCUUCAUAGGUAGGUGCAUAAAUGGUAAGGAUGAAGCAUGUCACAUGUGUGUCCCUGACCUUAGUGUUCUCAGGAGUGCUGUUUUAGGAGAUAAACACUAUAACUUGGGGGCCAUUGCUGCACGGAGGUUGCAUAAUAAUGGUUUAAGUGGAGACCUUUUGGGGGAAUUUAUGCAACCCGUGUGGCUAAUUUUCUUGGGAUACCCAUACAUGAGAGUAAUAUGGAAUUGCCUCCCACUUAUCUAG